rnacentral:lncRNA from 1 species
GUUACCCCCGGGGGGGGCUUGUUACCCCUGGAGGGGGUCGUUACCCCCAGGGGGGGGUCGUUACCAGGUGUCGCUGGAGGCAGCGGAGGCUGUGGCCGUAUUUGAGGCAGAACUCGCAGAGGUAGAGGACGGGCAGCGCCGUCAGCUCCUGCGGGUAGGGCGAGAAGUACCAGGGCUUGAGGCGAUGGCGGCCCAGCUCGAUGCACUCGAUGUUCUUCAUCCGCGUCACGAUGUCGUCGUGGCUGCGGUCCGACACCAGGCUGCCCGUCAUGCGCGGCGCCGACGGCGCGCCGUCCGAGGAGUCCUGCGAGUCCUGGGGUGGGGGGGAAAAGGAGGCACCCAGGGGUGAGGCCCGCACCCAGGGGUGAGGCCCGCACCCAGUCCCAGAAGCCCCUGUCUUUAUUUUCCUGUGUUUUAGGCGUUUUUGCCUUGUUUUUGCCUUGUUUUUGCCUCCGUUUCCCCAUGUCAAGGCCUUUUUGCGUUACUUUUGCCUCAGUUUCCCCAUGCCGAGGCUUUUUUGCAUUGCUUUUGCCUCAGUUUCCCCAUUUUGAGGCCUUUUCCCCUCAUUUUUGUGUUGCUUUUGCCUCAGUUUCCCCAUUUGAGGCCUUCUCCCCUCAUUUUUGCGUUGCUUUUGCCUCGGUUUCUCCAUUUUGAGGCCUUUUCCCCUCCUUUUUGUGUUGCUUUUGCCUCGGUUUCUCCAUUUUGAUGCCUUUUCCCCUCCUUUUUGCGUUGCUUUUGCCUCAGUUUCCCCAUUUUGAGGCCUUCUCCCCUCCUUUUUGCGUUGCUUUUGCCUCAGUUUCCCCAUUUUGAGGCCUUCUCCCUCAUUUUUGCGUUGCUUUUGCCUCAGUUUCCCCAUUUUGAGGCCUUUUCCCCUCAUUUUUGCGUUGCUUUUGCCUUGGUUUCCCCAUUUUGAGGCCUUCUCCCCUCAAUUUUGCAUUGCUUUUGCCUCGGUUUCCCCAUUUUGAGGCCUUCUCCCCUUAUUUUUGCAUUGCUUUUGCCUCGGUUUCCCCAUUUUGAGGCCUUUUCCCCUCAUUUUUGCGUUGCUUUUGCCUCGGUUUCCCCAUUUUGAGGCCUUUUCCCCUCAUUUUUGUGUUGCUUUUGCCUCGGUUUCCCCAUUUCAAGGCUUUCUCCCUCAAUUUUCCCUUGUUUUUGCCUCAGUUUCCCCAUUUCAAAGCCUCAUUCCCUCAUUUUCGCGUUGCUUCUGCCUCGUUUUCUCCAUUUUGAGGCUUUUUUCCCUCAUUUUUUCCCUGCUUUGGUCUCAGUUUCCCUAUUUUAAGGCAUUUUCUCCUGUUUUUGCCUCAGUUUCCCCAUUUCAAGGUUUAUUCCCCAUGUUUUCUUCCUGCUUUUGCCUCAGUUUCCCCAUUUUGAGGCCUUUUCCCCUAAUUUUUGCGUUGCUUCUGCCUCAGUUUCCCAAUUUCAAAGCUUUUUUCCCCAUGUUUUCUUCCUGCUUUUGCUUCAGCUUCUCCAUUUCAAGGCUUUCUCCCUCAUUUUUGCCUUGUUUUUGCCUCAGUUUCCCCAUUUCAAGGCAUUUUCCGCCUGCCUUUGCCCCAGUUUCCCCAUUUUGAGGCUUCUUUUCCCCUCAUUAUUGCCUCGUUU